rnacentral:rRNA from 1 species
UACGAAGGGGGCUAGCGUUGCUCGGAAUCACUGGGCGUAAAGGGUGCGUAGGCGGGUCUUUAAGUCAGGGGUGAAAUCCUGGAGCUCAACUCCAGAACUGCCUUUGAUACUGAAGAUCUUGAGUUCGGGAGAGGUGAGUGGAACUGCGAGUGUAGAGGUGAAAUUCGUAGAUAUUCGCAAGAACACCAGUGGCGAAGGCGGCUGGCUGGGUCCACAUUGACGCUGAGGCUCGAAAGCGUGGGGAGCAAACAGG